AUGCAGGAGGCCACGCUGGCGAUCCGCGUACUCGCGAUCGGACGAUCCAGAUUCAUUCCUGCGUGCAUGGAUGACUUGGAUGCGUUCCUUUCCCAAACGCGAUCGGACGGUCAGAUUUAAACACGAUCAAUGGUCUAGAUCCACUUCCUAUUUAAACGCGAUCGGACGACACAGAUCAGAUCGCGAUGAAUGGUCCAGAUUCACUCCCUAUUUAAUCGCGAUCGAAUAGUCCAAAUCAAACGCGAUUGACGGUAUAGAUUAAAAAGGGACGAAUAUAAAUUGUGAAGAUUGGUGACAAAAAGGGGUCACCGAUAUUGGUGACG
rnacentral:lncRNA from 1 species